UGGUGUCUGGUUUAGGGUUGCUGGGAGAUGUGUUCCUCCUCUUGAACCAGCAUAUUCUCUUUAUUCUACAGACUCUGAAGAUAAGGUGACAACAAUACAUAAGGGACUCGACCGAUGUGCCGCUUUACUCAAUGGGAUACUUCAAGCUGAGCAAGCAGAAUCAAAGCCCAAACCACAGGGAAC